UGAAACACUGGUUCUCAUAUGAUCACCAAAGUUAAGCAAUGUUGAGCUUGGGUUGUAUCUGGAUGGGUGACUGCUUGGAAGUAUGGGU